rnacentral:rRNA from 1 species
UACGUAGGUGGCAAGCGUUGUCCGGAUUUACUGGGCGUAAAGGGCGUGCAGGCGGUUUGUUAAGUGCAGGGUGAAAGCUCCCGGCUCAACUGGGAGAGGUCCUUGCAUACUGGCAAACUCGAGGGAGGCAGAGGAAAGUGGAAUUCCCGGUGUAGUGGUGAUAUGCGUAGAUAUCUGGAGGAACACCCGUGGCGAAGGCGGCUCUCUGGAACGGUACUGACGCUGAGACGCGAAAGCGUGGGGAGCGAACAGG